rnacentral:rRNA from 1 species
CCUACGGGAGGCAGCAGUGAGGAAUCUUGGUCAAUGGACGAGAGUCUGAACCAGCCAAGUAGCGUGAAGGAUGACUGCCCUAUGGGUUGUAAACUUCUUUUAUAUGGGAAUAAAAUCUUCCACGUGUGGGAUUUUGUAUGUACCAUAUGAAUAAGGAUCGGCUAACUCCGUGCCAGCAGCCGCGGUAAGACGGAGGAUCCGAGCGUUAUCCGGAUUUAUUGGGUUUGAAGGGAGCGUAGGUGGAUUGUUAAGUCAGUUGUGAAAGUUUGCGGCUCAACCGGAAAAUUGCAGUUGAAACUGGCAGUCUUGAGUACAGUAGAGGUGGGCGGAAUUCGUGGUGUAGCGGUGAAAUGCUUAGAUAUCACGAAGAACUCCGAUUGCGAAGGCAGUUCACUGGACUGCAACUGACACUGAGGCUCGAAAGUGUGGGUAUCAAACAGGAUUAGAUACCCCUGUAGUC